rnacentral:rRNA from 1 species
AGGGCGAACGCUGGCGGCGUGCCUAACACAUGCAAGUCGAACGGGGUCCAACCAGUGGCAACACUGGGGAAGACCUAGUGGCGAACGGGUGAGUAACACGUGAGGAACCUGCCCCGAAGACCGGGAUAACCCUCCGAAAGGAGAGCUAAUACCGGAUACCCCAACCAGAUCGCAUGUUCUGGUUCGGAAAUGGAUUCCGCUUCGGGAGGGCCUCGCGGCCUAUCAGCUUGUUGGUGGGGUAACGGCCCACCAAGGCUUCGACGGGUAGCUGGUCUGAGAGGACGAUCAGCCACACUGGGACUGAGACACGGCCCAGACUCCUACGGGAGGCAGCAGUGGGGAAUCUUGCACAAUGGGCGAAAGCCUGAUGCAGCAACGCCGCGUGGGGGAUGAAGGCCCUCGGGUUGUAAACCCCUUUCAGCAGGGACGAAUCUGACGGUACCUGCAGAGAAGCCCCGGCAACUACGUGCCAGCAGCCGC